GGAGUUCUACUGGUGGGGCUUUAACUGCCCGGAAAUGGAAGUUUCCUUAUUUUCUGUUUGUUGCCACUUGCUGUAAAUGCCUCUAGGGCGGGAUACAUGAAAUAGGGGCGAGUAACCCGAGGUGCCGGCGUCGCGCGCUCCGCGCCUUGUAGCCAUGCCUCGCCAAACUGCGGAACCCAGGACUUCCGGCCCCAACCUGGCGGAGGGAGCCGGAUGUGCGCGGCCACAGCGUGAGCCAGUGGGCGGGGCGGCCCCGGAUCCUUGUUGGCCGAAAAACAGUCACCCCUGGCGGCACAUUUCAGCGACACAAAAUGGGUCACUAAACUCACUCGUGUGACAUAUUCAGCCUGCCCAGGGCACUCAACCUGUCCCUUGAGGGGAGAGCGACAGCGGCGUUCAAGUCGGCAGAUACAGUGCUGCCCUCGGAGCCAAACGGGAAUUGCGGGGGCGACAAGUGUACGCCGGGAUUUUUGACGUGGUUCAAACAGUAGCCGAGGUCUUGGAAGAGACUGAGCCGGGGCCGCCCGUCCUGGCUCGCGUUCCUGCCCAACCACAGAAGACCCCGAACGCGGAAGGAAAGGACCCGCGGCCCACAUGUGAAUGAGCCGGGGGAUCGACUCUGUCCAUGCUAGAGGAGGGUCAGCUGCCUGAGGUCGCACUUGGCAGUGACCUUAAAAGUGUGUCUGAGACAACAGUCAGGCCUCCCUCCGCUGUGGGUUAAAGUCGAGGCGGAACGCCCUGAGGCUGCCACAAAGCACGGAAAAGCCACCUCCGCUUCCAGCCUCCUGUCUCUGUGAAGCAGUAACAGCCACAAAACGAGACUACGGAGUCGACCGGGCACAAGCAGCACACCGGAGGGGUCACUGCCUCCCGUCGCCCUGGGGGGACCAUCUGGUCGCGGGAAAACAAGCUCAGGGCUCCCACGGACUCUGUGUUACCAUGAGCUGUGUAAUUGCUUCGUUACAUAGUACAGGGUCAUAAUCAUCGAAAU